GCUCAGCGUGUCAGUCUGAAUGAACUUUUGUUUUCCUGUAGAAGAAAAUAAAACAGGAUGGAUACACUUACACAUUCAUGCUAUUUAGGAUUUGACUUUAGCACUCAACAACUGAAGGUAGUUGCUAUUGAUGAAAAGCUUCAAGUUAUUUGUCAAAGCAGUGUCCAGUUUGACAGUGACCUACCAGAAUUCAGGACCCAGGGUGGUGUCCACAUCCAUGAGGAUGGUGUGACUGUGACCUCUCCAGUGCUCAUGUGGGUCAAGGCACUUGACCUCAUCCUUGAAAAGAUGAAUGAUGAGUUGAUGAGUGUUGGCUUUGACUUCUCUCACAUAAAAGCUGUUUCAGGUAGUGGGCAGCAACAUGGAAGUGUGUACUGGAAAAAGGGAGCUAGACAUACUCUUCAGCAUCUGGAUCCAGCAAGCUGUUUACACAUUCUGCUGCAGGAUAGAUUUGCUGUCCAGGAUAGUCCAGUGUGGAUGGAUUCCAGUACAACAGAUCAAUGUAGGAGUUUAGAGUCUGCAGUAGGGGGUCCUCAGCAGCUGGCUGAUAUAACUGGCUCAAGGGCCUACGAGCGCUUCACAGCAAAUCAGAUUGCCAAGAUCCACCAGUUAUAUCCUGACAAGUAUAAUGAAACUGAGAGAAUCUCACUGGUCAGUAGCUUUGCUGCAUCUUUAUUUCUUGGAGACUAUGGAGCAAUUGAUUACAGUGAUGGUUCAGGGAUGAACUUAAUGAACAUCUUUAGUAAAAAGUGGUCAGAAUCAUGUUUGAAAGCCACAGCACCUCAGCUGGCAGAGAAGCUGGGAGACCCCAUGCCAUCCACUGCAGUUCUGGGUCCUGUGUCUCCCUAUUUUAUAAAGCGUUUUGGGUUUCCUGUAGACUGUAAAGUGGUGGCAUUUACUGGCGAUAAUCCUGGUUCCCUGGCUGGAAUGCACCUACAGGAGGGAGAUAUAGCAGUAAGUUUGGGCACAAGCGAUACAGUGUUUUUAUGGGUGAAGGAACCCAGACCUACAGUGGAGGGGCACGUAUUCUGCAAUCCUGUGCACUGUGAGUCAUACAUGGGUCUGAUCUGUUAUAAAAAUGGCUCUCUGACCAGAGAGAAGAUUCGUAACAAGUGUGCUGGAGGAUCAUGGGAAGAUUUCUCCUCAGCUUUAAGGUCCAGCCCCAGGGGAAACAAUGGAAACAUAGGCUUUUAUUUUGAUGCAGUGGAGAUCACACCCUCGGCGGUUGGGAUUCAUAGAUUUGAUCAGCAUGAUGCAAAAGUAGCUAGCUUUACCCCAGAGGUGGAAAUUCGAGCCCUGGUUGAAGGACAGUUCUUGGCAAAGAGGUUGCAUGCCCAAAAGCUGGGCUAUAAGAUUGUUUCAGUAACGAGAGUGCUUGCAACAGGAGGGGGUUCAGCCAACAAGGACAUACUUCAGAUAUCCAUUUCUGCAUUUCGGUCAUGCAAAACAUUCCCAAAAAAAAGAAGAAGAGAUGAUGUCAACAGGUUCUGUCUGACGUGUUUAAUGCUCCAGUGUACACAAUUGAUGUGGCCAACUCUGCAUGUCUUGGCAGUGCCUACAGAGCUAUGCAUGGACUUGUUGCAGAAACAGGCAAGUCAUUUGCAGAAGUAGUGAGUGAAGCCCCAAGAGCACAGCUUGCAGCAAGACCAACUACAGGAGCUGAAAAGGUUUAUGGGCCGCUCCUGAAGAGGUACGCAGAUCUGGAAGCAAAGAUUCUCAUGCAUACAACACAACAAUGAUUCAAUGUACUCAGUGUCUUUUAAGUUAAUGGUUUAAUGGUUCCUACAAUGCAAGGGUGUCCAUACUCGUUAGGGUUUAGACCGAGAAAAAAAAACAUCGUCACAGGAUACGAAAUAAAAAACUUAUUUAAAAGA